rnacentral:rRNA from 1 species
CCUACGGGCGGCAGCAGUGAGGAAUAUUGGUCAAUGGGCGCGAGCCUGAACCAGCCAAGUAGCGUGAAGGAUGACUGCCCUACGGGUUGUAAACUUCUUUUAUAAAGGAAUAAAGUGAGGCACGUGUGCCUUUUUGUAUGUACUUUAUGAAUAAGGAUCGGCUAACUCCGUGCCAGCAGCCGCGGUAAUACGGAGGAUCCGAGCGUUAUCCGGAUUUAUUGGGUUUAAAGGGAGCGUAGAUGGGUUGUUAAGUCAGUUGUGAAAGUUUGCGGCUCAACCGUAAAAUUGCAAUUGAUACUGGCAGGCUUGAGUAUAGUUGAGGUAGGCGGAAUUCGUGGUGUAGCGGUGAAAUGCUUAGAGAUCACGAAGAACUCCGAUUGCGAAGGCAGCUUACUAAACUGCAACUGACAUUGAGGCUCGAAAGUGUGGGUAUCAAACAGGAUUAGAUACCCGGGUAGUC